AUGCAACUAAUUCAGCCAGUUUCCCUUACUCCUGGGGACUGGGUAGUGUAUGCAGCCUGUUGCUUGUGUGGGUUACCCUAAGGGACCUUGGAGACAGGA
rnacentral:snoRNA from 1 species